UGAGCAAUCUGCCCUUCUCAUCGGAAUAAGCGUUGGAAACGACGUCUAAUGCCGAAUACGACCUCCUUUCGCAUGAUCGGAGGUGGAAAGCUCCGGCGGAGAAGGAUGAGCUCGCGGCCUAUCAGCUAGUUGGUGUGGGUAAUGGCCCACCAAGGCGACGACGGGUAGCCGGCCUGAGAGGGUGACCCGGCCACACUGGGACUGAGACACGGCCCAGACCUCCGUAGGGAGG
rnacentral:rRNA from 1 species